UACGAAGGGGCUAGCGUUGCUCGGAAUCACUGGGCGUAAAGCGCACGUAGGCGGAUUGUUAAGUCAGGGGUGAAAUCCUGGAGCUCAACUCCAGAACUGCCUUUGAUACUGGCGAUCUCGAGUCCGGGAGAGGUGAGUGGAACUGCGAGUGUAGAGGUGAAAUUCGUAGAUAUUCGCAAGAACACCAGUGGCGAAGGCGGCUCACUGGCCCGGUACUGACGCUGAGACGCGAAAGCGUGGGGAGCGAACAGG
rnacentral:rRNA from 1 species